GGGCCCUUAGCUCAAUUGGUAGAGCGCCGCCUUUGCAAGGCGGAGGUCAGGGGUUCGAUUCCCCUAGGGUCCA
rnacentral:tRNA from 2 species